rnacentral:misc_RNA from 1 species
UCCGGUUUGUCACCGGCAGUCUCGUUAAAGUGCCCAACUGAAUGAUGGCAAUUAACAACAAGGGUUGCGCUCGUUGCGGGACUUAACCCAACAUCUCACGACACGAGCUGACGACAGCCAUGCAGCACCUGUGUUCCGAUUCCCUUUCGGGCACACCCCCAUCUCUGGAGGCUCUCGGACAUGUCAAGGGUAGGUAAGGUUUUUCGCGUUGCAUCGAAUUAAUCCACAUAAUCCACCGCUUGUGCGGGUCCCCGUCAAUUCCUUUGAGUUUUAAUCUUGCGAUCGUACUCCCCAGGCGGAAUGCUUAUCGCGUUAGCUGCGCCACCGAAGGGCAUGCCCACCGACGGCUAGCAUUCAUCGUUUACGGCGUGGACUAC